UACGGAGGGUGCAAGCGUUAUCCGGAUUCACUGGGUUUAAAGGGUGCGUAGGUGGGUUUGUAAGUCAGCGGUGAAAUCUCCGGGCUUAACUCGGAAACUGCCAUUGAUACUAUAGAUCUUGAAUUUUCUGGAGGUAAGCGGAAUAUGUCAUGUAGCGGUGAAAUGCUUAGAUAUGACAUAGAACACCAAUUGCGAAGGCAGCUUGCUACAGGAAUAUUGACACUGAUGCACGAAAGCGUGGGGAUCAAACAGGG
rnacentral:rRNA from 1 species